AUUGAACGCUAGCGGGAUGCUUUACACAUGCAAGUCGAACGGCAGCGCGGACUUCGGUCUGGCGGCGAGUGGCGAACGGGUGAGUAAUGUAUCGGAACGUGCCCAGUAGCGGGGGCUAACUACGCGAAAGCGUAGCUAAUACCGCAUACGCCCUACGGGGGAAAGCGGGGGAUCGUAAGACCUUGCACCAUUGGACCGGCCGAUGUCGAAUUAGCUAGUUGGUUUGGUAACGGCUCACCAAGGCGACGUACCGUAGCUGGUUUGAGAGGAGGACCAGCCACACUGGAACUGAGACACGGCCCAGACUCCUACGGGAGGCAGCAGUGGGGAAUUUUGGACAAUGGGGGCAACCCUGAUCCAGCCAGCCCGCGUGUGCGAUGAAGGCCUUCGGGUUGUAAAGCACGUUUGGCAGGAAAGAAACGUCGCGGGCUAAUAGCCCGGGGAACUGACGGUACCUGCAGAAUAAGCACCGGCUAACUACGUG
rnacentral:rRNA from 1 species